UAAACAAUAUUAAAAUUUUAAUCGGAUAAAAAGUACAAUGAGUUACAUUUCCACAGAGUGGCAUUUAAUCAUAAUUAUGAGAUAACGUGGAGAAAUAAGGAUAAACUCAGGAUAAAAAAUGUUGCAAUGGAUGGAUUGUUAGAGGAUGAACAUGAUUAGGAACGAAGAAAACUUGUUAACCUUAAAAGAAAGUUACAGGAGAUUAACUUAUGUGACCCAUAAAUCCUAAGAGAAGAGAAGGAAUAUAUGUUAAUAGGAAGAUGAAGGAGAAAGGAAUAAGUUAGAGCUGGAAGGGAACGAGAAACGGUAAAUCAUCAACGGAAACUUCCAUGCAACGUCGUCUAAAAAAAAGAAAACUGGCAAAAAUAUGCAUUUUUGCACAAAAAAAAAUUCAAGAAUUUUAAUGAAAAUUAUCGACACAGUAGCCAAUUGCGAGAUGGACAUCCAUCAAUCGUCGAGACAUUAGAAUUGGAUAUGCAAAGUGAACCCUUUCAAUAGAAACCAUAAAUUUUCAUGAUGAAGUCGCCUUCUACCGAUUAAUCUAAUGAUUUAAAUCACGCUCGAAGUAACCCGUUGCUAAGUUAUAUACAAAUUUUCGAGUUACAAAUCUAUAUUUGCAUAAU